rnacentral:rRNA from 1 species
AUGGCCAUGGAUGGCUGCCACGAGCCCCUCCUUUUGACCUAUAAGGGAACCCCCACACCCCACCGAAACCUUAGCCCCUCGAUCUCUCUCCCUCGCGCCCCCUCCUCCUUCUGCGCCCUGACCGGUCCGCCUCUGCCCCGCCGACCUCGCCGUCAUCCGCGGCCACCGUCAUCUCCGGCGUGCGGGAGCAUGUCCAGGAGGUCCGGCGCGGCCGGAUCCGUCCGCUCCGGGGACCACCUCAAGCCGGGACGGUCCGUGUGCUCGCCAUCGAGCCCUUCUCCGCCGCGGACGUCACCAACUCGUCGUCGUUGCCACUGCUCCGGGCCGCCUCCGACCUUCUAA